AUGCCCCACACCCAAUCAACUUGGCCCUGGGCAAGUGAAGCUCUGAUGCAGUUUCCAAUAACAGUAGGAUGGGAUAGGCUAAGAAGAGCUCGACACCUCAUCAUGAGUCACCUAGGACAAGGGGAGCCUUUCAAGAGCAGUCACCUAUUGUUUCCUGGAGCUGAGAUGGAGUGCCUUCCAUCAAGGACCUCAGUGCACCUUGCAAAUGUCAUAAGUCAUCAAAGCCCUUCUAUAAUGGAGGUAAGUAUCUGUAGUCACAAUUUUAUAGUGAAAGAAGCACAGGGAAGGUAA
rnacentral:lncRNA from 12 species